rnacentral:tRNA from 1 species
GUAAAGAGGGGACCACACCCCGUAAAUGGAAUUACAACCCACCACCUAUUCUCAGCCAUCUUUACAAUG